rnacentral:rRNA from 1 species
GACGAACGCUGGCGGCGUGCUUAACACAUGCAAGUCGAACGGAAAGGCCCUGCUUUUGUGGGGUGCUCGAGUGGCGAACGGGUGAGUAACACGUGAGUAACCUGCCCUUGACUUUGGGAUAACUUCAGGAAACUGGGGCUAAUACAGGAUAGGAGCUCCUGCUGCAUGGUGGGGGUUGGAAAGUUUCGGCGGUUGGGGAUGGACUCGCGGCUUAUCAGCUUGUUGGUGGGGUAGUGGCUUACCAAGGCUUUGACGGGUAGCCGGCCUGAGAGGGUGACCGGCCACAUUGGGACUGAGAGACGGCCCAGACUCCUACGUGAGGCAGCAGUGGGGAAUAUUGCACAAUGGUCGGAAGCCUGAUGCAGCAACGCCGCGUGCGGGAUGACGGCCUUCGGGUUGUAAACCGCUUUCGCCUGUGACGAAGCGUGAGUGACGGUAAUGGGUAAAGAAGCACCGGCUAACUACGUG